UACGUAGGUGGCAAGCGUUGUCCGGAAUUAUUGGGCGUAAAGCGCGCGCAGGCGGCCUCUUAAGUCUGAUGUGAAAGCCCCCGGCUCAACCGGGGAGGGCCAUUGGAAACUGGCAAGCUAGAGUACGGUAGAGGGUGGUGGAAUUUCCUGUGUAGCGGUGAAAUGCGUAGAUAUAGGAAGGAACACCAGUGGCGAAGGCGGCCUUCUGGACUGAUACUGACACUGAGGUGCGAAAGCGUGGGUAGCAAACAGG
rnacentral:misc_RNA from 1 species